rnacentral:tRNA from 1 species
GCCAGCAUAGUGUAGUGGUGUGAUCACUGGACUGCAACUCUGGAGAUCAGGGUUCAAGUCCUUGCUUGGCC